rnacentral:rRNA from 1 species
AACGAACGCUGGCGGCAUGCCUAACACAUGCAAGUCGAACGAGACCUUCGGGUCUAGUGGCGCACGGGUGCGUAACGCGUGGGAAUCUGCCCUUGGGUUCGGGAUAACAGUUGGAAACGACUGCUAAUACCGGAUGAUGACUUCGGUCCAAAGAUUUAUCGCCCAGGGAUGAGCCCGCGUAGGAUUAGCUUGUUGGUGAG